rnacentral:tRNA from 1 species
CCAUUUGCGGCAACAGGUUUUUCUUGCUGUCUCAGGCGUUCUCGCGGAAAGCACUGCCUGCAUGGCAUGCAGGGGGUCAGGAGUUCGAGUCUCCUUGGCUCCA